GAUGAAGAACGUAGCGAAAUGCGAUAAGUAAUGUGAAUUGCAGAAUUCAGUGAAUCAUCGAAUCUUUGAACGCACCUUGCGCCCUUUGGACUUCUGAAGGGCAUGCCUGUUUGAGUAUCAUGAACACCUCAACUCCUUAUGGUCUUCCAUGAUGAGCUUGGACUUUGGGGGUUUUGCUGGCCUACAGUCAGCUCCUCUAAAAUAAAUCAACUUACCGGUGUUUGGUGGGUAUCAUGGGUGUGAUAACUAUCUACGCUCGUGGUUUUCCACCAGGUAACCUUCAGCAGUGGAGGUUCACUGGAGCUCAUAGAUGUCUCUCCUCAGCGAGGACAGCCCUUUGAAUGUUUGAUCUCAAAUCAGGUAGGACUACCCGCUGAACUUAAGCAUAUCAAUAAGCGGAGGA
rnacentral:misc_RNA from 1 species